rnacentral:rRNA from 1 species
AGAGUUUGAUCCUGGCUCAGGACGAACGCUGGCGGCGUGCUUAACACAUGCAAGUCGAGCGGUAAGGCCCUUCGGGGUACACGAGCGGCGAACGGGUGAGUAACACGUGGGUGAUCUGCCCUGCACUUCGGGAUAAGCCUGGGAAACUGGGUCUAAUACCGGAUAUGACCAAGGACUGCAUGGUUUUUGGUGGAAAGGUUUACUGGUGCAGGAUGGGCCCGCGGCCUAUCAGCUUGUUGGUGGGGUAAUGGCCUACCAAGGCGACGACGGGUAGCCGACCUGAGAGGGUGACCGGCCACACUGGGACUGAGACACGGCCCAGACUCCUACGGGAGGCAGCAGUGGGGAAUAUUGCACAAUGGGCGAAAGCCUGAUGCAGCGACGCCGCGUGAGGGAUGACGGCCUUCGGGUUGUAAACCUCUUUCAGCAGGGACGAAGCGAGAGUGACGGUACCUGCAGAAGAAGCACCGGCCAACUACGUGCCAGCAGCCGCGGUAAUACGUAGGGUGCAAGCGUUGUCCGGAAUUACUGGGCGUAAAGAGCUCGUAGGCGGUUUGUCGCGUCGUCUGUGAAAACUCGAGGCUCAACCUCGAGCUUGCAGGCGAUACGGGCAGACUUGAGUACUGCAGGGGAGACUGGAAUUCCUGGUGUAGCGGUGAAAUGCGCAGAUAUCAGGAGGAACACCGGUGGCGAAGGCGGGUCUCUGGGCAGUAACUGACGCUGAGGAGCGAAAGCGUGGGUAGCGAACAGGAUUAGAUACCCUGGUAGUCCACGCCGUAAACGGUGGGCGCUAGGUGUGGGUUUCCUUCCACGGGAUCC